AGAAUCAACGCUGGCGGCGUGCCUAACACAUGCAAGUCGCACGAGAAAGGGGCUUCGGCCCUGAGUAAAGUGGCGCACGGGUGAGUAACACGUGAAUCAUCUACCUCCGAGUGGGGAAUAACCUAGAGAAAUCUGGGCUAAUACCGCAUAACACUUACGAGUCAAAGCAGCAAUGCGCUUGGAGAGGAGUUCGCGGCAGAUUAGUUAGUUGGCGGGGUAAUGGCCCACCAAGACGAUGAUCUGUA
rnacentral:rRNA from 1 species